ensembl:lncRNA
AGAUAACGUAACAAAACCCUCUGCAGAAAAGAAAAAGAAAAAAGAAAAAAAAAAGGAAAGAAUGCAGCAUUUAAAGCCGCUUUUCAGAAGAGGAGUCUCUCCCGUUAGCGCCCCGAUCUUUUCUGUGCCGUAUGAAUGGAGAUGGAGGUGCCCACUGUGCUGACAACCACUGCUGGGGGCUGAGCAGAGCGGGGCUGCCCUCAGUCCCAUACCUCUGCAGCAGUGCCUCGGGAGCCAUUUGGUGGAGCACUGUUGGCUCUCUGGCCGAUGAUCUGCAGAAGACGAUGGAGCUACGCACAGAUGUUGUGAAGGAGUUUCGGAUAUAAUGCGUGGAUUUCCUUCGAGCUUGUAAAAUGAUUAACUUAUUUGAUUUCAACAUCUAAUCGCGAAAUAAUUACCUAGCCCAGCCCCGAGAUACCUUGGCAGAGUUGUUGGAGAUACUUUGGCACAGACAAAAAGCUCCCGCAGGAAGGCAUCCAUCUUCCUGCACCAGUGAAAUUGGUCCUUGGAAACGAAGGGCGCAGCUCCGCCCCGGCUCCUGCACACCCAUAGCUCCCAGACACGUCCCUGCACACCGGCCCAGCCGGCUCGGGCUGCAUAUGGCAGCAUGACCUAAUUUAUUGGGCUCUGCUGGACAAAAUCUGCGUGGUGGAAGGCUUAUUGGCCGCCUCUCAUGGGCUGUAAUUUGCCCAAGGAGCUGCUGGGCAGGAAACUCACUUAACCUCAGUGAUGGCAAGGACAGAUUAAAGAGAGCUGGGCUCAAAAACAAGCAGGUCUCGAGCACCCUUCUUAAUAAAGAAAAACAAACCACAGCACUAACUGGAGCAAUUGGACGGAGCAGCAACUGAGGCUCGAGCCUGAGAGAGGAGGGACAGCCUGAACUCACGUGGGAGGGAUGUCACACUGGGGAUGCUCCAACGCAGAGCAGGUGUGCCUGCUGCAUAUGAAGCAGAGAAGACCAAGACCACCGCAGGCAGAAAUCCACCUGCAAGGUCUCUACCCAGCCUUCUGCUUUUUGACCACAGCAUCAUAAGUCAUGUUCUGCCAUCACUCCCUCCUGGCAGCACCAAAGCGUAGCUCAGAGCACCUGGGGGAUCAGAUCACCCCCAGAACACACAGCUCAGCCCAAACUGACCACUUCCACGUUGCUCAGUCCUUGUGUGUUGUGGCUGGGGUGGGAAUCCCAUCCUGCCCUCAGAAGUGGGGGAAAGUGUUGAUGAUAUAAGUGAAAAAUACUGGAAACAAAAUGGAGAGCACUGAAAUCUGAAAUGGGACGGCUGGCAAGGGAACCAACCUUCCUGAAGGCUGCUCUGGGAGUGGGGGGACCUCCUUCUGCCAGGUGAGCUGGUCACACUUGCCAUAGGGCUGCUAUCUCUGGCAUUCCAACAUUCACAUUCAGCAGAACAGAGUGAGGUCAGCAGCGGGACAGUUUCUCCCACUGAAAUUAGCACAAGCACAGGGAAGGAACAUUAUGAGAGCUACCGAAAGCGUUCUUUAUCAGCUCGACCUAGAGACCAGAUGUUUUGCUACAAACUCUUUGGCUCUCGGUGGUUCACAAGCGCUCUCUGCCACCUUCGCACAUCAAACGUCAGCAGCGCAAAGAGUGUUUUGAAUCUCAGCAGAACUCCAGACUUUCAGGAGGGCCAUUAUUUCUGGGAGAAGGAAUUAUUUAAAUGGAAUCCUCACACCCAGGAGCCUCCUGGCUGUUUCUUCCUGCUCAGGGUAAUUCUCUGGCGGACGCCUUGCAGCUUCCACCCCGAUACUGAGAGGCUGAGGCACAUCUCCACCAACCCUCGGACUGCGUUAAUCACAUGAGAUAUUUUGUUUACGAAGCUCAGCUCUACAAAGCCCAACCUGGAAGCAG